CGCAUCUGGCACCACGCUGGUGCCUGUGUAAACAGGUGAAAAGGGAAUGCGCCAGCCCGGGAAACCGGGUCAAGCGCAGCCGCCCCCGCGACCGUGACCGGAAAGGUCCUCCACCGCCACUGGCCUUGCGCCGGGAAGGCAGGGGGGCCGCUGGAUGGCGCUGCCAUCCUGCAUCCGCAAGCCGGGAGACCUGCCAGCGCAAGACGACACCAA
rnacentral:ncRNA from 22 species